rnacentral:tRNA from 1 species
GAUUAUUUAACUAUAUAAGUAUAUAUUUUGAAAGUAUAAAAAAGAACACAUCUAAUAAUCU